UUUAACUGAGCGUUCAGUUACUUGACGUAGACCCGAAACCGGGCGACCUACCCAUGAGCAGGAUGAAGCGAAAGUAAAAUUUCGUGGAGGUCCGAACCCACGAGCGUUGAAAAGCUCGGGGAUGACUUGUGGGUAGCGGUGAAAUUCCAAUCGAGCCCGGAGAUAGCUGGUUCUCCCCGAAAUAGCUUUAGGGCUAGCCUCAAGGUGAGAGAUACGGAGGUAGAGCACUGAAUGUCCUAGGGGGUAUUGCACCUACCGAAGACUAUCAAACUCCGAAUGCCGUCAUCUUAUACUUGGGAGUCAGACUGUGGGUGAUAAGAUUCAUAGUCGAAAGGGCAACAGCCCAGAUCGUCAGCUAAGGUCCCUAAAUGUAAGUUAAGUGGUAAAGGAUGUGGGAUUGCACAGACAACCAGGAUGUUGGCUUAGAAGCAGCCACUCAUUCAAAGAGUGCGUAAUAGCUCACUGGUCGAGUGAUCCUGCGCCGAAGAUUUCCGGGGCUAAAACUUACUACCGAAGCUACGGCAUCAGUAAUGAUGGGUAGGGGAGCUUCCCAUACGGGUUGAAGCAUGACCGUAAGGACAUGUGGACAGUAUGGGAGUGAGAAUGUUGGCAUGAGUAGCGAGAUGUGGGUGAGAAUCCCACAGGCCGUAAACCCAAGGUUUCCAGGGGAAGGUUCGUCCGCCCUGGGUUAGUCGGGACCUAAGCUGAGGCCGAAAGGCGUAGGUGAUGGACAACAGGUUGAUAUUCCUGUACUACCGAUAACCGUUUGAGAGAAGGGAUGACACAGUAGG
rnacentral:rRNA from 1 species